rnacentral:rRNA from 1 species
GUGGGGAAUAUUGGACAAUGGGCGCAAGCCUGAUCCAGCCAUGCCGCGUGAGUGAUGAAGGCCUUAGGGUUGUAAAGCUCUUUCACCGAUGAAGAUAAUGACGGUAGUCGGAGAAGAAGCCCCGGCUAACUUCGUGCCAGCAGCCGCGGUAAUACGAAGGGGGCUAGCGUUGUUCGGAUUUACUGCGCGUAAAGCGCACGUAGGCGGUUUGUUAAGUCAGGGGUGAAAUCCCGGAGCUCAACUCCGGAACUGCCUUUGAUACUGGCAAGCUAGAGUCCGGAAGAGGUAAGUGGAACUCCUAGUGUAGAGGUGGAAUUCGUAGAUAUUAGGAAGAACACCAGUGGCGAAGGCGGCUUACUGGUCCGGAACUGACGCUGAGGUGCGAAAGCGUGGGGAUCAAACAGGAUUAGAAACCCCGGUAGUCC